CAACAUCCGCCGCCGAUCUCUCGCCACACACUUUACUCACUCCACUCCAACCACCGGCAAAACCCUAGCUUCCCGCCGGCGCCGGCGAUGGCCAGCCGGUUCUCCAACGUCGACCCGGUGACGGAGGCCGACAUGCGGCGCCAAGGCCUCGACCCGCACGAGCUGGACCGGAGCACGGAGCAGCUCAUGUCGCUCAUCCACGGCAACCUCCCGGACCCGCCCGUCUCCACCACCGCCCGCCUCACCGCCUUCCGCGCGCGCCCCUCCGAUGGCGUGGACCGCAUCAGCCGCCUCUCCGACGCGCUCCUCCGCGACAUCGUCUCCCGCCUCCCCGUCAAGGACGCCGCCCGCACCGCCGCGCUCGCCGCGCGCUGGCGCGGGGUCUGGAGCUCGACGCCGCUCGUCCUCAUCGACACUCACCUGAUCUCCGGUGGCCGCACCCCUGGGCGCGCCAGCACGCCGGACGUCACCGCGGCCGUCUCCCGCAUACUCGCCGCGCACCAGGGGCCCUUCCGCUGCGUCCACCUCACCUGCAGCCGCAUGGGCGCAUACCAGGCCCAGCUCAAGCGCUGGCUCCGUCUCCUCGCCGCCAGGGGCGUCCAGGAGCUCGUCCUCGUCAACCGCCCGUGGCCACGCGAGGUGCGCCUGCCCAAGACGCUCUUCACCAUCUCCACCCUCACCCGCCUCUACAUCGGCGUCUGGAAGUUCCCGGACGCGGCCGGCCUCCAAGACGCCUCCAUCCCUCACCUCCGGGAGCUCGGCAUCUUCAGCGUCUCCGUGGAGGACGGGGACAUUGACGCCGUCGUCGCGAGGAGCCCCGCCCUCGAGAUCCUCAACAUCCAAGGGAGCAUGAAGGGGGUGCGUCUCCGCCUCGUCAGCAACAGCCUCCGGUGCGUGCAGAUACGUUCUUUCGCCAUGGAGAGCAUCGACGUGGUGAACGCCCCGCGUCUCGAGCGCCUCCUCGUGUCGGAGUGUCUCGACCCUGCCGGCGGAUCGUGCACCAGAAUCAAAAUUGGCCAUGUCCCCAAGCUGAAGUUACUGGGAUACCUGGAGCCAGGAAAAUUCGUGCUAGAGAUCCAAGACACCGUCAUCAUGGCUGGGAUUAAGACAAAUGCAAGCAUGAUGGUCACAAGCGUGAAGACCCUUAGUUUGAGGUUGCGCUUCGGAGUCUAUGAUGAUGUCAAGAUGGUGCCCGCCUUCCUCAAAUGCUUCCCCAAUGUUGAGGCGCUGCAUAUUACGUCUGAAAAAUGUGAUCAACUCACUGGCAAGUUCGACCUCGAGUUCUGGGAAGAGGUUGGUCCCAUCGUAAGUGUGCUCUUGCGCCUCAAAGUGAUCACGUUUCGGGAGUACCGCGCGAAGCAAGAUGAGCUUGCCUUCCUCCAGUACAUCUUCCAGAAUGCAAUGGUGCUCAAGUAUGCACAUGUUCAGAUGGUCAAUCAUAGAUUCACUUCACUGUCCAUUGAUGAGAUGACCUACACCAUAAACCAUAUGCCUGAUAAUAAAUGGGCCAGUAAAUUCAUCUUUGCUAUCGGUGGGUCUCAUGGUCCUGAAGGAGGUGAACCUUUGGCUUUUCAGUGAGGAGCAGACCUUUCUAAUGACGAUCCAGUUGCACCGGUUAAAUUCAUCACAAGGGAUGCAGGCGCAGCGACACACACUCACCAGAAGAAGUCGCAAGCUGGAAAGCGUCGCAACUGAGAUCUUCGACAAGUGGAGUCAUGGAGUAUGAACUGCUGGCCAUAAGCGUGCUUAAUCUGGAGAGCUAGCCUGACCUGGUUGCUUUGCAUGGUUCUUGUAGUGAUCGAGUUCUGAAAAUGGUGUCAAGUUCCUACUCUUUUUUGCAUGAGAGCAGUGUGCGCGUUGUGGUAUGUCGUCUGUGUGUGUAUGGAGCUGCGUAGUCUAUGGCCAGAGAUCAUUUCCAGUAACUGAAUGUAGUUGGCAAUUUUAGGCACUGCAGUGAUCGAGUCAACUGUAGAAGCAAGUUUCGUUUGAUCAUGAUGAACUACCUGUCUGACGGAGCUCAUCUAGUUCUAGUUAUGCUUAUGCAUGGCCUGAGCUCAUUCUCUGGUACCUAAAAAAGGCAUGUCGAAUUUGGUAACUACUCCGUCCCAUAAUGUAAGAC